UGCCACUGUGCCUUUGCACUGUGCAGGCAGCGAGGGCUCUGCGUCCUCGGACGUCCCCGUGUCUCCGUGGGCGGGGGGGGAGCGGGGCGCGACCGUGUAUUUCAACCAGUUACAUACGGUACUCGAACCCAUCAUUGCCUUUUUCUCUUUUAUCGUCCGCUCUGACCGAGGCCACGGUGGCAAGGAACCAAGAGCUCGCGGGUGUCCCCUGCCAUCAAAGUGAAGUGCAGUCAAGAAUCAUGAACCUAGGCUUCCACGUCCAGGGAAACAGGACGUUUUAGUCCAGCCCCAAAUAUUCUCUCUCAGCAAGAUUCCCAGGACCUCAUUGGAGCAAUUUACAGCCAGUCCCAUCUCACCAGUGCAUGCUGCUCAGUCUCAACUACGAAUUGAUGUUCUUGUCCGUGAAAUGCAGAAAGAUGGUUCCGUACCUCCACAGGAUUGUUGUGAGAAGGAAGAGAUGCCCUGAGUGGACCACACAUGCAGUGGACAUUGGAGGUAGUUCCCCAGGACGCAUCAUGGUUCUGCCACUGAACAGUUGUGUGGCCACAGGCAUAGCAACCUCAGUCAGCUUCUGUCUCAGCAUCAGUU